rnacentral:rRNA from 1 species
UACGUAGGGGGCAAGCGUUGUCCGGAAUCAUUGGGCGUAAAGCGCGUGUAGGCGGCUGGGUAAGUCCGCUCUGAAAGCCCGGAGCUCAACUCCGGAGGGUCGGUGGAUACUGCCAGUCUUGAAGGUGCUAGGGGGAGAUGGAAUUACCGGUGUAGCGGUGAAAUGCGUAGAGAUCGGUAGGAACACCAGUGGCGAAGGCAGCUCUCUGGGACGGUACUGACGCUGAGACGCGAAAGCGUGGGGAGCGAACAGG